rnacentral:rRNA from 1 species
GGGUUGUGAGGUUAAGCGACUAAGCGUACACGGUGGAUGCCCUGGCAGUCAGAGGCGAUGAAGGACGUGCUAAUCUGCGAUAAGCGUCGGUAAGGUGAUAUGAACCGUUAUAACCGGCGAUUUCCGAAUGGGGAAACCCAGUGUGUUUCGACACACUAUCAUUAACUGAAUCCAUAGGUUAAUGAGGCGAACCGGGGGAACUGAAACAUCUAAGUACCCCGAGGAAAAGAAAUCAACCGAGAUUCCCCCAGUAGCGGCGAGCGAACGGGGAGCAGCCCAGAGCCUGAAUCAGUGUGUGUGUUAGUGGAAGCGUCUGGAAAGGCGCGCGAUACAGGGUGACAGCCCCGUACACAAAAAUGCACAUGCUGUGAGCUCGAUGAGUAGGGCGGGACACGUGGUAUCCUGUCUGAAUAUGGGGGGACCAUCCUCCAAGGCUAAAUACUCCUGACUGACCGAUAGUGAACCAGUACCGUGAGGGAAAGGCGAAAAGAACCCCGGCGAGGGGAGUGAAAAAGAACCUGAAACCGUGUACGUACAAGCAGUGGGAGCAGUGACUGCGUACCUUUUGUAUAAUGGGUCAGCGACUUAUAUUCUGUAGCAAGGUUAACCGAAUAGGGGAGCCGAAGGGAAACCGAGUCUUAACUGGGCGUUAAGUUGCAGGGUAUAGACCCGAAACCCGGUGAUCUAGCCAUGGGCAGGUUGAAGGUUGGGUAACACUAACUGGAGGACCGAACCGACUAAUGUUGAAAAAUUAGCGGAUGACUUGUGGCUGGGGGUGAAAGGCCAAUCAAACCGGGAGAUAGCUGGUUCUCCCCGAAAGCUAUUUAGGUAGCGCCUCGUGAAUUCAUCUCCGGGGGUAGAGCACUGUUUCGGCAAGGGGGUCAUCCCGACUUACCAACCCGAUGCAAACUGCGAAUACCGGAGAAUGUUAUCACGGGAGACACACGGCGGGUGCUAACGUCCGUCGUGAAGAGGGAAACAACCCAGACCGCCAGCUAAGGUCCCAAAGUCAUGGUUAAGUGGGAAACGAUGUGGGAAGGCCCAGACAGCCAGGAUGUUGGCUUAGAAGCAGCCAUCAUUUAAAGAAAGCGUAAUAGCUCACUGGUCGAGUCGGCCUGCGCGGAAGAUGUAACGGGGCUAAACCAUGCACCGAAGCUGCGGCAGCGACAGAAGGUGUACUGUGAGGUAUGCUGGAGGUAUCAGAAGUGCGAAUGCUGACAUAAGUAACGAUAAAGCGGGUGAAAAGCCCGCUCGCCGGAAGACCAAGGGUUCCUGUCCAACGUUAAUCGGGGCAGGGUGAGUCGACCCCUAAGGCGAGGCCGAAAGGCGUAGUCGAUGGGAAACAGGUUAAUAUUCCUGUACUUGGUGUUACUGCGAAGGGGGGACGGAGAAGGCUAUGUUGGCCGGGCGACGGUUGUCCCGGUUUAAGCGUGUAGGCUGGUUUUCCAGGCAAAUCCGGAAAAUCAAGGCUGAGGCGUGAUGACGAGGCACUACGGUGCUGAAGCAACAAAUGCCCUGCUUCCAGGAAAAGCCUCUAAGCAUCAGGUAACAUCAAAUCGUACCCCAAACCGACACAGGUGGUCAGGUAGAGAAUACCAAGGCGCUUGAGAGAACUCGGGUGAAGGAACUAGGCAAAAUGGUGCCGUAACUUCGGGAGAAGGCACGCUGAUAUGUAGGUGAAG